GAAUUUUUUUUUAAUGUAAUGCUUACUGUCAUUUUAACUGUAACACAACACCAAGAAAAUACCAAAUAGUUGUUUUUUGUUUUUUUUUCCCUGUUAACUAGAAGCUGGCUUUAAUGUACAUGGAUGGGUGUGUUGUACAUGAAAUGAUGCUUAGAAGUGUGCCACACUAGCUAGUAGUUAUGUUGAUGUAACUGUUGGUUCGGAUUAUUUACUUUUUUUUUUGUAGUGGAUGGGGUUUGCUGGAAGGAUUUUUCAUUGGAGCAUUUCAGUGCAGUGCAAUUCAUGAAAGAAUAGCUGUGCUAGAAUUGGAAUCUCUCAUCAGUGUGAGUUAGAUCAUCAAACAUAGUGAAAAUGUUUACAAAGCUGCUAUCAUC